rnacentral:rRNA from 1 species
CGGCGGACGGGUGAGUAACGCGUGGGUAACCUACCCUGUACACACGGAUAACAUACCGAAAGGUAUGCUAGUACGGGAUAAUAUAUUUGAGAGGCAUCUCUUGAAUAUCAAAGGUGAGCCAGUACAGGAUGGACCCGCGUCUGAUUAGCUAGUUGGUAAGGUAACGGCUUACCAAGGCGACGAUCGGUAGCCGACCUGAGAGGGUGAUCGGCCACAUUGGAACUGAGACACGGUCCAA